rnacentral:rRNA from 1 species
UGCCACAGCCAUAUCAGUCUGCAGCUCAAGACUUGUUGUCCACUGAAGCUAACCAAGGUUGAGCCUGGUCAGUUCCUGGAUGGGAGACCACAUAGGAAAACUAGGCUGUAGUUAAAA